rnacentral:rRNA from 1 species
GUAGCGAAAGUUACGCUAAUACCGCAUAUUCUGUGAGCAGGAAAGCAGGGGAUCGCAAGACCUUGCGCUGAUUGAGCGGCCGAUAUCAGAUUAGCUAGUUGGUGAGGUAAAGGCUCACCAAGGCGACGAUCUGUAGCGGGUCUGAGAGGAUGAUCCGCCACACUGGAACUGAGACACGGUCCAGACUCCUACGGGAGGCAGCAGUGGGGAAUUUUGGACAAUGGGGGCAACCCUGAUCCAGCCAUGCCGCGUGAGUGAAGAAGGCCUUCGGGUUGUAAAGCUCUUUCGGCCGGGAAGAAAUCGUAUGGGUUAAUACCCUGUGCGGAUGACGGUACCGGCAUAAGAAGCACCGGCUAACUACGUGCCAGCAGCCGCGGUAAUACGUAGGGUGCGAGCGUUAAUCGGAAUUACUGGGCGUAAAGCGUGCGCAGGCGGUUUUGUAAGACAGGCGUGAAAUCCCCGGGCUCAACCUGGGAACUGCGCUUGUGACUGCAAGGCUAGAGUACGGCAGAGGGGGGUGGAAUUCCACGUGUAGCAGUGAAAUGCGUAGAGAUGUGGAGGAACACCAAUGGCGAAGGCAGCCCCCUGGGUCGAUACUGACGCUCAUGCACGAAAGCGUGGGUAGCAAACAGGAUUAGAUACCCUGGUAGUCCACGCCCUAAACGAUGUCAACUAGGUGUUGGGUGGGUAAAACCAUUUAGUACCGGAGCUAACGCGUGAAGUUGACCGCCUGGGGAGUACGGCCGCAAGGUUAAAACUCAAAGGAAUUGACGGGGACCCGCACAAGCGGUGGAUGAUGUGGAUUAAUUCGAUGCAACGCGAAAAACCUUACCUACCCUUGACAUGUCCAGGAGCCUGAAGAGAUUUGGGUGUGCCCGAAAGGGAACUGGAACACAGGUGCUGCAUGGCUGUCGUCAGCUCGUGUCGUGAGAUGUUGGGUUAAGUCCCGCAACGAGCGCAACCCUUGUCGUUAAUUGCCAUCAUUUAGUUGGGCACUUUAACGAGACUGCCGGUGACAAACCGGAGGAAGGUGGGGAUGACGUCAAGUCCUCAUGGCCCUUAUGGGUAGGGCUUCACACGUCAUACAAUGGUCGGUACAAAGGGUCGCCAACCCGCGAGGGGGAGCCAAUCCCAGAAAGCCGAUCGUAGUCCGGAUCGUAGGCUGCAACUCGCCUGCGUGAAGUCGGAAUCGCUAGUAAUCGUGGAUCAGCAUGUCACGGUGAAUACGUUCCCGGGUCUUGUACACACCGCCGUCACACCAUGGGAGCGGGUUCCGCCAGAAGUAGGUAGCCUAACCGCAAGGGGGGCGCUUACCACGGCGGGGUUCGUGACUGGGGUGAAGUCGUAACAAGGUA